rnacentral:rRNA from 1 species
GACGAACGCUGGCGGCGUGCCUAAUACAUGCAAGUUGAGCGCUGAAGGUUGGUACUUGUACCAACUGGAUGAGCAGCGAACGGGUGAGUAACGCGUGGGGAAUCUGCCUUUGAGCGGGGGACAACAUUUGGAAACGAAUGCUAAUACCGCAUAAAAACUUUAAACACAAGUUUUAAGUUUGAAAGAUGCAAUUGCAUCACUCAAAGAUGAUCCCGCGUUGUAUUAGCUAGUUGGUGAGGUAAAGGCUCACCAAGGCGAUGAUACAUAGCCGACCUGAGAGGGUGAUCGGCCACAUUGGGAAUGAGACACGGCCCAAACUCCUACGGGAGGCAGCAGUAGGGAAUCUUCGGCAAUGGACGAAAGUCUGACCGAGCAACGCCGCGUGAGUGAAGAAGGUUUUCGGAUCGUAAAACUCUGUUGGUAGAGAAGAACGUUGGUGAGAGUAGAAAGCUCAUCAAGUGACGGUAACUACCCAGAAAGGGACGGCUAACUACGUG